rnacentral:rRNA from 1 species
UGGGGAAUUUUGGACAAUGGGCGCAAGCCUGAUCCAGCCAUGCCGCGUGAGUGAAGAAGGCCUUCGGGUUGUAAAGCUCUUUCGGACGGGAAGAAAUGGCGGGCUCUAACAUAGCCUGUCGAUGACGGUACCGUAAGAAGAAGCACCGGCUAACUACGUGCCAGCAGCCGCGGUAAUACGGAGGGUGCAAGCGUUAUCCGGAUUCACUGGGUUUAAAGGGUGCGUAGGUGGGCAGAUAAGUCAGUGGUGAAAUCUUCCGGCUUAACCGGGACACUGCCGUUGAUACUAUUUGUCUUGAAUAUUGCGGAGGUAAGCGGAAUAUGUCAUGUAGCGGUGAAAUGCUUAGAUAUGACAUAGAACACCAAUUGCGAAGGCAGCUUACUACACAAUCAUUGACACUGAGGCACGAAAGCGUGGGUAGCGAACA